CUCUUUAUUCCAAGUUCAGACAACAGUACAAAACAUUUUCAGAAUGGCAACAGUUGAAAAGUGCAAUAUAGCAUACUGCAUUCUCAGUCUACAUUAUUGAAUGAACGAGGGAAGGUAAACAACACAAUAAAAGAAGGAGAGAACUGUAAAGAUAGAGGAAAAAGACAAGAGAAAAGAGAGAUGAGAAAGACGCCAGAGAGGAAGAGUUGCUGCGGGUGAGGGGUCAAACAGACGAAUUCCAUUAAGGUGAUUAUCCUGUUAAGACUCAAAUAACAUCCAGGACCUCUGGAAUGUCAGUAAGGUAUCCUGUGCUUGUGCUUUCAGUUCCUCCAUUAUAUAGGUAUCUUGACGUUUCUAAAUACAAAAGAGAAAUGUCAGCUCUAGAAAUAUACUGAUGGAAUAGAUAUAGGAAGCACAACACUCAAUCCGGGAUCUCUCUUCACCAGUGAAUAUAA